rnacentral:rRNA from 1 species
CCUACGGGUGGCAGCAGUGGGGAAUAUUGCGCAAUGGGCGAAAGCCUGACGCAGCGACGCCGCGUGAGGGAUGAAGGUCUUCGGAUCUUAAACCUCUGUCAGCAGGGAAGUACGGUCACUGUGCUAAUCAGCAGUGCAUUGACGGUACCUGCAAAGGACGCACCGGCUAACUCCGUGCCAGCAGCCGCGGUAAUACGGAGGGUACGAGCGUUAAUCGGAAUUACUGGGCGUAAAGCGAUCGUAGGUGGUAUGUCAAGUCAAGGGUGAAAGUCCCGCGCUCAACGGGGGAACUGCCUUUGAAACUGGCAAACUUGAGUGCGUUAGAGGAUAGUGGAAUUCCAGGUGUAGGAGUGAAAUGCGUAGAUAUCUGGAGGAACAUCAGUGGCGAAGGCGACUAUCUGGCACAUAACUGACGCUGAGGAGCGAAAGCGUGGGUAGCAAACAGGAUUAGAUACCCCGGUAGUC